AGCACAAGGAGUAGGAUUAUGCAAAUCAACAUGAUUAUGAAAAGACAAAGGAAAAACUGGAGGUCAUCUCCAGCCGUGAUUGGGCCAUCAUUCUGAUUUGCUGAUAUGGAUUUGAAUAACACCUCUCUGACCAAUGAGGACUCCUCCACAGUAUUCUUUACACAGGAGAGGAAAAAAAAACCCAACUCAACAUUGAAAUCGGGCUAACCUCCUCUUUUAAUAACUCUGACAUGGAAGAGGGAAAAACCCAGAAGGAACAAAUUUGAAAAGUUUACUUCAGGUUGAGAAAUUCUAAUUCCACCACUUUUGUGUGUGUGUUGUUGUUUGACAGACAUGACAGCCAUCUCCUCAUUAUUAUGGAAAAUAUAGGGUUGGUGGUAAUUACUAUCUGAAUAUGAAUGGGAGCAGAAGUGGGCAUAGCCUGCACUGGCCUUUCUUUGACAAGAGCCCAAAGGCUCUGGUGUAGUGGAAGAAUGACAUGUAUUGUGAUCUAACCAUGAUACAACCGCAUGUGAACCUAAGUUUGACCAUAAACACUGAUGUCUGUCUGAAUGGCUACAGUGCCCUUCCAGAUACCUGUUGCUAAUAUCAAAUCAAAGGGACAGAAAGAAGCAGAGAAAGAGAUCAGGUAUUGGCUGAUGCACUCCCCAAAUUCUGCCACAUUCAGGGAGAACCAGAACACACCUAGGAGCCAAGAACUCAAUCCAGGAUGUUCGUUUUGGGUAGCACGAACACUCAGUCAUCAUUUGAUGUUACCCAUGUUUGUAUUAACAGAAUGUGUCAGAAGCAGAAUUAGGAUUCAAACUUGGGA